ACCCCAGCCGCCAGCUAGCCGAAACCCUAGCUUCUCCACUCUCUCUCUCUAUCUUUCGCGCGCGUGGCUGCGUUGACGGCCCAUGCAUCGCCGCGCCGUCGCACUGCCGCUGCGCCUCGCGCCGCCGCAUCAUGGCCGGCGCGCCAUGGCCGGUGACCUCGCGCUGUGGCGCGCCCACUUUUCUGUUCUCCUCCCACCGUCUCUAAUCCUCCACCUGUGAAGUGAAGGAGAGAGAGAGAGCGGCGAUGCGCCGCCACGGGCCACCUCGCCGGCGCGCGCGUGCACCUGCGGGUGCGCACACGGCCAUCGAGAGGCUCCUUGGCGGUGCCCUGUGCCCUCCCCCUUUCACCCCUUUGCCGGCGUCAACGUUCGGCCGGCGACAAGGUCAUGGGACAAUGUCACUUGGUUCACAGAACGACUAAAAGUUAGACACGAUUGCAUAUUUUUUCUAACAAUUCAUACUAUGUAUACUUUAAUUGUGUAAUUCAAAAUCCUUUUUAUGGACCUUUGAUACAUACAUACAUACACUCACACAUAUGUAUAUAAUAUGUAAGCAAAUGAAUUAUCCACAUAGCUGUGUGGCUAGUUAGCUAGCAUAUCUUGGAAUUAUAUUUAUACUUUUUCAUCUGCUUGUUUAUUUUUUAACUAUGUAAUAUAAUUCCUAUGUGCGGAGCAAUUGUAACAGCUGAAGUGCCAUAGACUAAAGUUUAUGAUUGUGGUUUGAAUUA